CAAAGGCUUGGUCCUGACUUUACUGUCGACUUUAACUAAACUUACACAUGCAAGUAUCCGCCCCCCUGUGAGAAUGCCCACAACUCCCUGCUUGGGAACUAGGAGCCGGUAUCAGGCACAAGCCCAGCUAGCCCACGACGCCUUGCUUAGCCACACCCUCAAGGGACCUCAGCAGUGAUAAAUAUUAAGCCAUAAGUGAAAACUUGACUUAGUUAAGGUUAAGAGGGCCGGUAAAACUCGUGCCAGCCACCGCGGUUAUACGAGAGGCCCAAGUUGACAAACAACGGCGUAAAGAGUGGUUAGGGGAUUUACUAAACUAGAGCCGAACGCUUUCAAAGCUGUUAUACGCACCCGAAAGUAUGAAACCCAAUUACGAAAGUAGCUCUACCUAUCCUGAACCCACGAAAGCUAAGGAACAAACUGGGAUUAGAUACCCCACUAUG
rnacentral:rRNA from 1 species